rnacentral:tRNA from 1 species
AUUUUAAUAAUUUAAUAAAAAUUAUUUUAAUGUAUAUAAUAAUUUAAUUAUUAAUUAUAAUA